UACGGGGGGGGCAAGCGUUGUUCGGAAUUACUGGGCGUAAAGGGCUCGUAGGUGGCCAACUAAGUCAGACGUGAAAUCCCUCGGCUUAACCGGGGAACUGCGUCUGAUACUGGAUGGCUUGAGGUUGGGAGAGGGAUGCGGAAUUCCAGGUGUAGCGGCGAAAUGCGUAGAUAUCUGGAGGAACACCGGUGGCGAAGGCGGCAUCCUGGACCAAUUCUGACGCUGAGGAGCGAAAGCCAGGGGAGCAAACGGG
rnacentral:rRNA from 1 species